GAUUAGUGGCGAACGGGUGAGUAACACGUGAGUAACCUGCCCUUGACUCUGGGAUAAGCGUUGGAAACGACGUCUAAUACCGGAUACGAGCUUCCACCGCAUGGUGAGUUGCUGGAAAGAAUUUUGGUCAAGGAUGGACUCGCGGCCUAUCAGCUUGUUGGUGAGGUAACGGCUCACCAAGGCGACGACGGGUAGCCGGCCUGAGAGGGUGACCGGCCACACUGGGACUGAGACACGGCCCAGACUCCUACGGGAGGCAGCAGUGGGGAAUAUUGCACAAUGGGCGAAAGCCUGAUGCAGCAACGCCGCGUGAGGGACGACGGCCUUCGGGUUGUAAACCUCUUUUAGCAGGGAAGAAGCGAAAGUGACGGUACCUGCCAGAAAAAGCACCGGCUAACUACGUGCCAGCAGCCGCGGUAAUACGUAGGGUGCAAGCGUUGUCCGGAAUUAUUGGGCGUAAAGAGCUCGUAGGCGGUUUGUCGCGUCUGCUGUGAAAUCCCGAGGCUCAACCUCGGGUCUGCAGUGGGUACGGGCAGACUAGAGUGCGGUAGGGGAGAUUGGAAUUCCUGGUGUAGCGGUGGAAUGCGCAGAUAUCAGGAGGAACACCGAUGGCGAAGGCAGAUCUCUGGGCCGCUACUGACGCUGAGGAGC
rnacentral:rRNA from 1 species